rnacentral:rRNA from 1 species
ACGAACGCUGGCGGCGUGCCUAAUACAUGCAAGUUGAGCGAUGAAGAUUGGUGCUUGCCCCAAUUUGAAGAGCAGCGAACGGGUGAGUAACGCGUGGGGAAUCUGCCUUUGAGCGGGGGACAACAUUUGGAAACGAAUGCUAAUACCGCAUAACAACUUUAAACAUAAGUUUUAAGUUUGAAAGAUGCAAUUGCAUCACUCAAAGAUGAUCCCGCGUUGUAUUAGCUAGUUGGUGAGGUAAAGGCUCACCAAGGCGAUGAUACAUAGCCGACCUGAGAGGGUGAUCGGCCACAUUGGGACUGAGACACGGCCCAAACUCCUACGGGAGGCAGCAGUAGGGAAUCUUCGGCAAUGGACGAAAGUCUGACCGAGCAACGCCGCGGGAGUGAAGAAGGUUUUCGGAUCGUAAAACUCUGUUGGUAGAGAAGAACGUUGGUGAGAGUGGAAAGCUCAUCAAGUGACGGUAACUACCCAGAAGGGGACGGCUAACUACGUG